rnacentral:lncRNA from 1 species
AUGCCCAUGUUAAAUGUGGCCAUGUUCCUGCAACAGUCCCUUUCAAGGAAGUCCUGCCAGACACACAAACAGACUGAUAUUUGUGACUUGAAAUUCUUCUGUACACUACAAAAGACAAUUAGUAAAAAGACAGAUAUAAAACUAGAAAUAAUGCCAGAGAGUGAAAGACCAAAAUGCACCUCCGAACCUCGAACAACAAUAUUAGGGUGUAUCUUGGUGAUUUCCUGCAUCAUGUUCAUUGCUCAAGUGAUAGCUGCUUUAGCAACUGAUGAAUGCAAAGGAGAGUUCUACAUCCCCAUAUGCAUCUAUAAUUAUGGAUUCAUAUCUGCAUUUCUGGCACUGAGCAUGUGCACAGCAAAAAGAAUGCAGCAGUUUCCAAUUACACCAAGAAAGCAGUUGCUGUACCUGCUGCACCGGGGGCGGUGCAAGUGGUGCAACAUAGGCUGUUGCUCUGUGCCUCUCCUCGUCGUCUGUUUCUUUUACCUUGGUGUUAAUGCGUUCAUCUACUCGGAUAUAAAACCCAACUUCAAUAAGAGCGUAACCACAGGCAUUAUCUACUGCAACAAGACAUUCUACCUGUUUGCAUUUUGGAGCACCAACCUGACCUACGGCCUGUUAGCGCUGCUGUUUAUCACUUUUUGGUGUUGUAAACGACAAGAGCCCGAGGGCGAUGAUGAGGCUCAAAUACUCGUUCAGCAUUACCAGAUUAGGAUCCUAUGGUUCACUGUAUAUGAAGUCUAA